AGUGAACGCUGGCGGUAGGCCUAACACAUGCAAGUCGAACGGCAGCACAGUAAGAGCUUGCUCUUACGGGUGGCGAGUGGCGGACGGGUGAGGAAUACAUCGGAAUCUACUUUUUCGUGGGGGAUAACGUAGGGAAACUUACGCUAAUACCGCAUACGACCUACGGGUGAAAGCAGUGGAUCUUCGGACCUUGCGCGAUUGAAUGAGCCGAUGUCGGAUUAGCUAGUUGGCGGGGUAAAGGCCCACCAAGGCGACGAUCCGUAGCUGGUCUGAGAGGAUGAUCAGCCACACUGGAACUGAGACACGGUCCAGACUCCUACGGGAGGCAGCAGUGGGGAAUAUUGGACAAUGGGCGCAAGCCUGAUCCAGCCAUACCGCGUGUGUGAAGAAGGCCUUCGGGUUGUAAAGCCCUUUUGUUGGGAAAGAAAAGCAGCAGGUUAAUACCCCGCUGUUCUGACGGUACCCGAAGAAUAAGCACCGGCUAACUUCGUG
rnacentral:rRNA from 1 species